GGGCGCUUGGUCUAGGGGUAUGAUUUUCGCUUCGCAUUCGCGGUUCGCCCGUGAUACGCUUGUGAAAGGUCGUGGGUUCAAUUCCCACAGCGUCCA